UUUAAAGGGCCGCGGUAAUUUGACCGUGCGAAGGUAGCAUAGUCAGUAGUCUUUUAAUUGAAGGCUUGAAUGAAAGGUUGGACGAGAGAUAAGCUGUCUCUUUUGCGUGGUUUGAAUUUAACCUUUGAGUGAAAAGGCUCAAAUUUCUUAGUGGGACGAUAAGACCCUAUAAAACUUAAUAUAAGUUAAAUUGGAUUUGUGAUUUCAGUAAAAAGUGGUCCUUUUAAGUUUAUAUUUCGUUGGGGAGAUGUAGAUAUAAUGUGUAACUGUUUAUAAAACUAAAUAAUCAUAAUUAGUUUGUGAUCCUGCAGAUGUGGAUUGAAAGAGUAAGUUACUUUAGGGAUAACAGCGUAAUUUUCUUUGAGAGUUCUUAUCGACAAGAGUAGUUGCGACCUCGAUGUUGAAUUAAAAUUUUAGCUAGGUGUAGCCGUUUAGCUGGUAGGUC
rnacentral:rRNA from 1 species